UAGCCAGCCAGUUGGUUUGCUUACCUAAAUGUGUUUAUGAAGAGAUUCAGAUAAAGCUGGUAAUAAUAGUGACAUGAUAGAAGCCUGAAGCACAAUCAAAGUCGUUAAAGUCCUUGGGAAUGGCUACAACA